GACGAACGCUGGCGGCGUGCUUAACACAUGCAAGUCGAACGGAAAGGCCCUGCUUUUGUGGGGUGCUCGAGUGGCGAACGGGUGAGUAACACGUGAGUAACCUGCCCUUGACUUUGGGAUAACUUCAGGAAACUGGGGCUAAUACCGGAUAGGAGCUCCUGCUGCAUGGUGGGGGUUGGAAAGUUUCGGCGGUUGGGGAUGGACUCGCGGCUUAUCAGCUUGUUGGUGGGGUAGUGGCUUACCAAGGCUUUGACGGGUAGCCGGCCUGAGAGGGUGACCGGCCACAAUGGGACUGAGAUACGGCCCAGACUGCUACGGGAGGCAGCGGUGGGGAAUAUUGCACAAUGGGCGGGAGCCUGAUGCAGCAACGCCGCGUGCGGGAUGACGGCCUUCGGGUUGUAAACCGCUUUCGCCUGUGACGAAGCGUGAGUGACGGUAAUGGGUAAAGAAGCACCGGCUAACUACGUG
rnacentral:rRNA from 1 species